GAGCCCGCCUGGAUAAUAGAGGAAUACAUUUCAAAUUUCAGAAGUCAGGAGUCCGCCUGGAGAAUAGAGACAUACAAUUUAAGUUUCGGAAAUCAGGAGCCCGCCUGUAUAACAGAGUCAGGAGCCCGCCUGGAUAACAGAGGAAUACAUUCAAUUUCAAGUUCAACAGUCAGGCGCCCACCUGGAGAACAAGGGAAAACAACUCAAGUUUCUAGGGAAAACAGUUUCGAAGGAAGACAGUUCGAGUUUCAGGGAAAAUGGUUCAAAGUGUAAGGGAAAAUAGUGUCAAGUAACAAGGGAGGACAGUUCAGGUUCAGCAAUCAGGCGCUCACCUGGAAAAAAAGGAAUUCAAUUCAGAAUGCAAUUCAGAAGUUGAUGAAGGAUGUGAGCUGCUCAAGACAUGGCCGAGGUCACAAGCACUACAUGUCCGGUCCUGACCUAGAAGCUGUAGAAGAACGAGCUAGCACCUGCAGCUAACAAAGUGUCAAGGUUCAAAUCUAAAGUCUGUAUGAAGAACCAUUCAAGACUCAAGAUCAAGCUUCAGAAGACUUAUAGAUAGGAAUCUUGUAGCUCGUAGUCGAUAGGCUUAGCUAGUCUUUUUCAUCUUUUGAUUUUUGAUGUAAUAACAGGGACCGCAGACCGGAACCUCGACGGAACGGCACCUCG
rnacentral:lncRNA from 1 species